rnacentral:rRNA from 1 species
CUGACCCUACGGGAGGCAGCAGUAGGGAAUUUUCGGCAAUGGGGGGAACCCUGACCGAGCAUCGCCCCGUUAACGAAGAAGUUAUUCGUAAUGUAAAGUUCUUUUAUCAGGGAAGAAAGAGGAAUUUGACGGUACCUGAGGAAUAAGCUCCGGCUAACUACGUGCCAGCAGCCGCGGUAAUACGUAGGGAGCGAGCGUUAUCCGGAAUUAUUGGGCGUAAAGGGUGCGUAGAUGGCAUAGUAAGUCUUUUGUAAAAA